GUCUCCUCACCCCUUUUACAAACUUGAAAAAGGGGGUUGAUGGCGAUUCCGUAUCUUCUAAGGCAUUCACUAACCGCCAAAGCUCCGGACAAAGCACGCCAAAUGAAGAAUUUAAUUUUAGCAGCUGUCUUAAGCUCGCAAAAUUUCUCCUUAAGUCAAUUCAAACGCUUGAGACUUUCUGAACUUGGUUCUAGCACUUCACUAGCUUGAGACAUGGAUUUUGU
rnacentral:lncRNA from 1 species